rnacentral:misc_RNA from 1 species
GGAAGUAAAAGUCGUAACUAGGUCUCCGUAGGUGAACCUGCGGAGGGAUCAUUACAGAGUUCAUGCCCUACCGGGUAGAUCUCCCACCCUAUGUUAUUAUUACUUUGUUGCUUUGGCGGGCCGUUAGGCUCCGGCCCGACUACCGGCCCCGGCUGGUAAGCGCCCGCCAGAGGACCCAAAACCCUGAAUAUUAGUGUCGUCUGAGUACUAUAUAAUAGUUAAAACUUUCAACAACGGAUCUCUUGGUUCUG